rnacentral:rRNA from 1 species
UACGGGGGGGGUAAGCGUUGUUCGGAAUUACUGGGCGUAAAGGGCGCGUAGGCGGCCACCGCAAGUCGACUGUGAAAUCUCCGGGCUUAACUCGGAAAGGUCAGCCGAUACUGCGGGGCUAGAGUGCAGAAGGGGCAACUGGAAUUCUCGGUGUAGCGGUGAAAUGCGUAGAUAUCGAGAGGAACACCUGCGGCGAAGGCGGGUUGCUGGGCUGACACUGACGCUGAUUGUGCGAAAGCUAGGGGAGCGAACGGG